rnacentral:rRNA from 1 species
UACGAAGGGUGCAAGCGUUACUCGGAAUUACUGGGCGUAAAGCGCACGUAGGCGGAUUGUUAAGUCGGGGGUGAAAUCCUGGAGCUCAACUCCAGAACUGCCUUCGAUACUGGCGAUCUCGAGUUCGGGAGAGGUGAGUGGAACUGCGAGUGUAGAGGUGAAAUUCGUAGAUAUUCGCAAGAACACCAGUGGCGAAGGCGGCUCACUGGCCCGAUACUGACGCUGAGGUGCGAAAGCGUGGGGA